rnacentral:rRNA from 1 species
UAAAAGCCUACCAAGGCAUAGGUCGGUAGCCGGCCUAGGAGGGCACACGGCAACACUGGCACUGAAACACGGGCAAUACUCCUACGGGCGGCAGCAGUGGGGAAUCUUGCACAAUGGGGACCACGCUGCUGCAGCGACGCCGCGUGAGCGAUGAAGCUCCUCGGGGUGUAAAGCUCUUUCGGCAGAGAAGAUAGUGACGGUACCUGCAGCAGCAGCUGCUGUUACUACCUGCCAGCAGCCGCGGUACUACGUAGGCGGCGAGCGUUGUUCGUUGUUACUGGUCGUAAAAGGGUGUGUCGGCUGUUUGUAUAAGUUUUGUUGUGAAAUCUCGCGGCUCAGGGUGGGGAGGCGUGCCGCCAGACUACUGGAGCUACUAGACGUGCGGGGAGAGGAAAAGAGUAACCUUGCUGGUUGUAGCGGAUGAAAAUG